CUCCCAAGACCCCCCAUCAUAUUUCUUGCAAGAAUACGAAUUCAACCAUACCCUUGGUUGGUUGAAUUAUCUUCGAUAAACCCAGAAACCACGAGGGUUCCGUCGAAGCACUGUAGCACCGAUUUGAUCGUCGAGGUUUCACGCCAUUUUGAGGUUCAGAAAGGGCUAUAGUGAGCUUUAGAACGUCCUCAUGAUGCUCGAAGUGCAACGUUGAGGUAUUUUGGACGUCGAGGAGCCAUAGAACGAAGUUUCACUUUUUGCCGAAUUAUCGUGUUUCCCCAGGUGACACCUAUCUCGAGGACGAGCGCAUCCAGGGACGUCAUGGGGGUUACGACCCAUCGACUUAUCAGUGAGUUCAAGUUAGCAGAGCUUUGGUGGCCACAAGGAAUCCAACGGUGUUCUGACAGAAUUCACAAAAGUAGGAUUCACCCUCGGAUGUUAUAUCUUAGUAAUUGUAUUCUUUAAAGCUUCCGAACUGUGUAAAUGGUUACGUCACU
rnacentral:sRNA from 1 species